rnacentral:rRNA from 1 species
ACGGAAGGCAGCAGUGGGGAAUAUUGCACAAUGGGGGAAACCCUGAUGCAGCGACGCCGCGUGAGCGAAGAAGUAUUUCGGUAUGUAAAGCUCUAUCAGCAGGGAAGAAAAUGACGGUACCUGACUAAGAAGCCCCGGCUAACUACGUGCCAGCAGCCGCGGCAAUACGUAGGUGACAAGCGUUAUCCGGAUUUACUGGGUGUAAAGGGCGUGUAGGCGGUUUGGCAAGUCAGAAGUGAAAUUCCCGGGCUUAACUUGGGCGCUGCUUCUGAAACUGCUUAACUUGAGUACUGGAGAGGAUAGUGGAAUUCCUAGUGUAGCGGUAAAAUGCACAGAUAUUAGGAGGAACACCGGUGGCGAAGGCGGCUUACUGGACGAUCACUGACGCUGAGGCUCGAAAGCGUGGGGAGCAAACAGGAUUAGAUACCCUGGUA